AUACGUAGGUGACAAGCGUUAUCCGGAUUUACUGGGCGUAAAGGGCGUGUAGGCGGUCUUGCAAGUCAGAAGUGAAAUUCCUGAGCUCAACUCGGGCGCUGCUUCUGAAACUGCAGGACUUGAGUGCUGGAGGGGAUAGCGGAAUUCCUAGUGGAGCGGUAAAAUGCGCAGAUAUUAGGAAGAACACCGGUGGCGAAGGCGGCUAUCUGGACAGUAACUGACGCUGAGGCGCGAAAGCGUGGGGAGCAAACAGGAUUAGAUACCCUGGUAGUCCACGCCGUAAACGUUGAAUACUAGGUGUAGGGGGUAUCGACUCCCUCUGUGCCGCAGUUAACACAAUAAGUAUUCCGCCUGGGGAGUACGGCCGCAAGGUUGAAACUCAAAUGAAUGGGCGGGG
rnacentral:rRNA from 1 species